GACGAACGCUGGCGGCGUGCUUAACACAUGCAAGUCGAACGGAAAGGCCCUGCUUUUGUGGGGUGCUCGAGUGGCGAACGGGUGAGUAACACGUGAGUAACCUGCCCUUGACUUUGGGAUAACUUCAGGAAACUGGGGCUAAUACCGGAUAGGAGCUCCUGCUGCAUGGUGGGGGUUGGAAAGUUUCGGCGGUUGGGGAUGGACUCGCGGCUUAUCAGCUUGUUGGUGGGGUAGUGGCUUACCAAGGCUUUGACGGGUAGCCGGCCUGAGAGGGUGACCGGCGACAUUGGGACUGAGAUACGGCCCAAAGUCCUACGGGAGGCAGCAGUGGGGAAUGUUGCACAAUGGGCGGAAGCCUGAUGCAACAACGCCGCGUGCGGGAUGACGGCCUUCGGGUUGUAAACCGAUUUCGACUGUGACGAAGCGUGAGUGACGGUAAUGGGUAAAGAAGCACCGGCUAACUACGUG
rnacentral:rRNA from 1 species